GUUUGAUUUUUUGUCUACACAUGGGUGGUGACCUCCACAUCAUCCCUGUCAUCAGAGCUGGCGUCUAAUUUUACUUAAAUUUUCUAAUCAAGUGUAUGUUCCACUGAAAGUGCUGAUCUGUUCAACAGCACAAGCAUCUCACUCCAAUUCCAACACUUAUCAUGUUUCCCUAAUCUCACCCUCAAACCCUAAUUGACAAGUUUAGCAAGGUGUUAGUAAUAUGGCACUUGCUUCACAGGAAAAAUGCCUUCCCAUGUGUUUCAUGGCACCGCAUCUUCGCAGAAGAAAGAAUGAAAGGAAGCCAAUAAGAAAGCAGAAAACACGCAAGGAAAGAAGAAUAAGAGAAUAAUAAAACAGAAUGCCGCAUGACUGGCUGGAAACACAAGCAGAAGAAGACGAGGAAGAGGAGCUGCCCGAUGUUGGAAAAAGCUGGAGCAGCGAUGGAAUGACUGGCUAGGUUUCGAGAGAGGACCGCGGCCACAACACUUCGUAACCGCCCCCAUCCCACGGAUCACAUGAAAAACACUUGCGGAACAGUCCAAAAACGAUUUCCAAGUGGCGAGAAGCUGGAUUUGGAAACCGGAUUCGGAAGAGAUUUGACGUGGCCUCGGACAGGCGCUGCGGUGAACUGUUUGUAAGUCAUAGAUGUGCCCUUGGCUCCGUCGUGUAUCACUCCUCGCGGCAUGAUUGCGUUGAUCUAUGGAAAGGUAGCGAGGAUCUACUCAUUAUCUGGACCGGAGCCUCGAUCGCAAGUCCCUUGAACCGUCCGAGAGAGCCACCACACCAUUCCCUUUAGUUUUUUGGGUUUGCUCUUCCUCGCUGCGUUGUUGUCGUUGAAGCGGAGAAGGCGAGCGUCGAGCUCGACACCCCCCGGACUCGUGUCAAUGCCCUUGAAGUAGGGUGGGCUUUGAAACGGCGAGGGAAGAGGGGUGGAGAGCGAGGCGAUGUGGGUUUCUGUUGCAAUUGAGUCAGGAGGCGGGUGAAGGCCGGGGAGCUUGAGGGCUCCGCUGAAGUAUUCGUGGCAGAAUCGAUGCUCUCUGUGGUGGUAUCUGAGGGAGUUUGGUUGGCGUCGGUGGCAGGUGGGUUUGCGUGGGAUGCAGGUUCAAUGUGUAGUUGCAGGAGUCAAUGGGGCCUUUGGUGUUUUCUUGUAUCCGGCGGAGAAUUUUGGGUAGAUUUUAGGUCGGUUGGGGGAGGGGUUGAGGUGUAUGGACGAGGGAAUGAAAUGUCUGAGGUUCUAGAGAGAGGAAUGGAGGUAAAAGAUUUCGGGAUGCAGUUACGUGGUGGCGGACUUGAGCGGUUGCACAAUGUUUAGUGAGCGUGGAUUGUUGAGUCAUGAGUAGGUGACGGGAAUUCGGUUAACAGUGAUUACUCGGUGACAAGGCGGAGGUGCGUUCCAGGGUUUCGUCUGAGUUUGUCGUUCUUGACUACUGGGGGAAUUUGGAAAGCUCAUGACUCGCCGUUAGAUGGUCAUGGACGUUGUGCCGCCACUGUUGAGGGUACACCCUGUGGCGCUAUGAAAAGAAUAGAGUGUACUAGAUAGCGUUGCCGCUGGUCGAAGUGUUUGAAUUGUCGGGGUUUAGUGCUAGGAAUUGCGGCGCCAGCCACCACCACUCCGCCUAGAUUACUGCGUUGGAGUCCGGUUUUGGCUGUGUGGUUUUUUAUAUUAUUAGCCACUGUUACAGUAAUCUUCCUUCUUCUUUAAGAGGAGUGUCUUGCAGAAAUUCCUGCAUCAUUCCUCUGCGCAUUCUAUCACCAUCUUUCUCUCAACUGUGACUAUUACUGUGGCGAUUUUUCAGCAGUGAGGUACAUGUGAGAUGUAGAGAAAUACGUCAUGAACUCAAGUCUCUACACCUGUGUGAGUGUUUUGUGGUUUCUGCGAUCGCUACUGAGAUUGAGAUUGUUAUCUCGAAGAGUCCUCGGUGUCAUCUUAGAACACAUAUUGCAAUUGAAUCUUCGUUCAAAGAUUGCUAUUUUCGUUUGGGUGCUUUUAGUUUCAGAGGUAGCCAACGAACGAACUGAGAUAACGUAUAGAAUAGGUUAUUAGAUUCACAAAAAUGAGCGAGUUUGUAAUCUUUUGUACAAUCUUGUGGAGGUUUAUGUUUUGAUAGAUUUCUUUGAUCUUUUUUUCCCAUCUUUCCUGUGAAAGAGAAUUACUUUGAUAGUAGGAGAGGCCUUUAGUAACAUGAAGAGACAUAUCAUUGCAAUUCCUCUUAGAGGAAAUGGUGUUUUUCUUCCUGAGUGGUAUGCUAUUAACUAGAGGAUCGUAACUGAUCUGUGAAGCGACUUUCUUAACCAUCCUUAAAUAUCUUGACAUGAUUGUGAGAAAUGCUAUUCAGAAUCAAAUCGCUGUUCUGUCUUUUGGAUUAAUGAGUUAUGCUUCGUGCCUCGGGAUCCUAUGGAUUAUUAUGUCUCUGCCACGAGUCCUAUGUUAUCUGUGUCACGUAUCUUUCGUUCAUUUUCAUAUACGAAGAGUUCCUCACACUUAGCGGAGCGAUUGACUAACAUCUUACUCAUUGCAAGCUUUUCUCUUGCUGUUUUGAAACUCGAAUGUAACGUUCUCGAUUCUCGCUGUGUGAAUCAACACCAGUAUUCGUUAUUUUAAUCCAUUUGAAUUUAUUUUUGUUAUCGGAUGAUUAGAAGCACUAAAUCGACAUUUUCUUUGGAUAUCAGUGUGAAGGGAACUGUCAAUAAGGGAUCUUCUAGUCUGCUCGUGGCUAAAGUGUGAUCACCAAUCGCCAGGGUUUUCGUCAGGGGCUUUCCUCAGAGGUAUCUCGAUUUUCUUACAAGCACCCUGACAUUGCAUGUAGUGGUUUCUUUAUGUGACAGUCUCAAUUCUCUUGUCAUGUGUUUGGCCUAAUGAUAAAAUUCAAUCGGCUGAUAUUACUUCUGGUUUUUGGUAUUAGGGUCCCUUCCAAGGAGCACUCACUUUGGUGUGUGCUCCAGCUCUGACGAGAGCUUUGUGCAGAAGAAAUGGAUGCCGCUACUGCUAAAGUAAACUAUUUCUCGUGGGGGAAACCCGCAGUGAUGGAGACUGCUGCGGAUAUGAUGUUUUGUAUGGUGCCUUUUUGGGUGGCUACUGCAAUUGGUCUACUAGUUGGUUGGUUGUGGAAACCUCAAUGGGCUAGCAUUUUGUUAUUGGGUGUGAAAAGUCGCCCCCGAUUAGUAUGGGAUACUCCUCCUGGGUUUGGAGCACGUCGGUUUUGGCUGGCAAUUAUGGCCUUGUCCGCUCUUCCCAUGUGGAAAGAGGCAUGGAAAUCAUUUAGUGCGUGGAUGUGGCCGUCUGCUGAAGUGUUGCUUGUGCCCACUGACGUCCCGGUUGACGUUGCCGGCCCUAGGUGAGUUACGCACAUGAUUUUCCUUUAGGAUUAUGCCUUAAAGGGUAUCUUUUCUGGGUAAUCGGUUUCUUGGGGGCUGCUAAGACGUACUUGAAUGUUCGUCGAUGUGCAGUGAACCUGAUGCCAAAGAGAGGACUAAGAAGGAAGUGGUGACGAAUGAGGAUCUAGAUAAGCUAAUGACCUUGGCGAACGGCAAAGACGGAGGUCCUGAAUGGCAGAUAUUUUUAGACAAAUCUAUUCAUGACCUGAAGUAUCAAGCAUGGCGUCGUGAACCCGAGGUGAACAAUUUAUCUGGUGGACUCUGUUCAGGGCUUUCUAAUUCUGACUUCUUACCAUGACGGUUAUUGCCAAUGUUGCUAACACUUCAUGAAACUUUGCAGCAUGAUGGGCCAACUGAAUAUAAGACCAGAACUGUGGUCGAGGACACAUCCCCAGAAUUGAUGCGAGACUUUUUUUGGGAUGACGAAUUUAGGUGUCAUUGGGAUGAAAUGCUGAUCUACACCAAAACCUGGGAGGCAUGUGAAGAGACUGGUUCAAUGAUAGUUCAGUGGGUGAGGAAGGUACGAGUCUUUGGCAAGCUCCAUUUCCACUGAAAUAUGUUCUGCUAUCUUGUUUUCAUAGCGCAGGAGCAGAAUCGAAUGUUUUAUGUUGAUGAGAAGUGUGAGUGCAAUUACUAUUGUGCUCUUAGAUAAGAGGAAUGAGGUUCAUGAGAUUUGUGUUGAUUUUUGUUUGAACGUGUGAAUCAGUUCCCUUUCUUCUGCAAAGACCGGGAGUAUGUUAUUGCCCGUCGUAUGUGGGAGACCAACAACACAUACUACGCCGUAACCAAGGUAUCUAUACCGUUCAUGCAAAUGCUCUUACAGUUUAUGUCCGGCCUGUUCUCAGUUUGUAAGCCUGACUUUUAUCGACGUUUUAUGAAUUUUCUUUUGAUUAGCCAGUUGUUGAUGCUUGUGAUUUCAAUUGCAGGGUACUCAGUAUGCUCCAAUACCUAGACAGCAAGCGCCAAGGAGAGUGGAUACUUUCUUUUCAAGUUGGAGAGUACGAGCAGGUAUGUUUGAAUGACAGAAAUAUCAGCUAGCUGAGAUGUUCUGUGCUCUGGACGCUGGAGUGAGUAGUCUGUAAUUUAGUAAAUUACGACGUGUGAUUUCUGACGUCUUAUUGUGUAUUACACAUGUUAUUGUUAGAUUCAAUUACCUCUUUACAUGGGAAAAGCUUCUGAUUGUUUUGGUCGGGUGCAGUUGAGUCAGCAAAAGGUGACGGGCAGAUGACCGCCUGUGAAGUCUUGUGCUUUCAUGCGGAGGACAUGGGCAUUCAGAGAGACCUUGCAAAGCUUGGCAUUCGCCAGGGCAUGUGGGGGUGUGUAAAGAAAAUGAUGCCUGGACUGAAUAAGUACAGAGCGGAUCGGAAGGCAAAUUUGCCCCUAUCGCCAUCAGCAAAAAUGGCAAGGAAAUUUUGGAAAGUUCCUCGCCAUCUCCUCAGCGAGCCUGAACGUUUGACGAAAUCCUUUGAUUCUGAGAAUGUUAGGAUUGUGGCUGUGAGAGACAGUGACAUCCAGCAGGAAAACAAAAAUUACGUGAAAUGGGUUAUAUUAGGAGGUGCUGUUGCUCUGGCCUGUGGCAUCGAUAGGGGUGCUGUGGGCAAGUUUCUCGUUCUUGGAGUCGCAAGGCGCCUAGGCAGAAUUGGAAGAAGACUGUAACAUAGGUUAGUGUAACAAAGAAAAAUGCCCGGGUUCACCUUUGUCCCCACACGAAUGUGAAUGGAUCAGGUGGUUCCUUUCUUUUGCAUUUGAAUUUUGUAUUUUAUUUUAGAUUUGGUGUACCUACUCAGGCUUUCUUUUUCAUCCAUUUUUCUCCCCCUGAUAGCCUUUUCUGGGCCUGAUGAUUUCACUCCCUUCGUGAUAUAUGAUUUUGUGCACAGUUUGUGUUUUACUAUUCUGGUACUACUGCUGUUGCGUGUGGUUUAUUUUUGAUGUGCCCUUUAUUAUCUUGAGAAAUUCGAAACCAAAUAUGUAACUGCCUCAGAUUGAGGCAGUGAUUCGUGAUAUGGAAAGGAAUUUGUGAUAUUACAGUAGUUGAGAAAUGUAUAUACUUGAUUUAAAAAUAAAUAGAAGAUGGGAGAACAAUAUCUUGGAGAAAAUGUUCAGGGUAAUUAAAAUUUAAUGGAGUAUCGACAAAAAAUUAACUGGAGAAUGUAUCAAGUUAGAGGAAGAUGGACCAUACUUUUAGGAAAAAACUGAGUCCAAAAGUGAUGAAAUUCAUGUAAGAUUUUUCGAUUUAUUUCUUAUUUUUUUAAUAUUUCAAUAUUGUAUCUUACUAAUUUUCUUAGAAUUCUUUUUUAUUACGAUGAAAGUAAAAGAUAAGAAAAACAAGUAUAUGGUAUAGUUGACAUAUUGUGUAUGAGAUUUACUCUUUUGAUAUGAUUAUGACGUAUUCUAAGUUUUCUAUUAUAUUUGAUGCAUCUUUAAACUUUGUGUAAGUUUUAUCUUUUUCAUUAAAUUUAAUACAAAAAAUUAUAGUCCUCUGUUACAUGCAAUUACAUGAAUAGUAAAUAAAAAUAAAAAUAAAUCUGUUGUGUACAGUUUUGUUUGACAUCCACUCCACAUAGGAAUUAUUUUAAAGAUGAAAAGCAACAUUUAGUAUUUAUUACAUAAUGUUCAUGUUCCAUUACCUAUUUAAAUAAAUAUUUAAUUGAUAAUAAAGAUUUUUGUAAUAGCCAACUACAUAGUACGAUUCUUAAUGUUUUAAUUGGUAUGUUUCUAGUUUUUAUUUUUAAUUGCACACAUAAUCAACAUACAAAUAUAUUUGUGAAUUUUAAAGAACAUCAACAUUUGUAAGAUAUGAGAUUCAUAUAUAGGAAUCUUAUAUAUGUUUUACACACUACUAUAUAAUCUAUAAAUUUGUUGAACAUAUACUAUUCUUAUUUUCGAAUGCAAACAUCUUGAUUAAGUAUAGAUUAUUUUAAUGUUUUGGUAAACAUUUCUUAGACUAGUAAUGUGAAUGAAUCCUACAUUGCACAAUUUUAUCCACAAUUAUCCUUUGUGAUUUUGCAUGGCUUGCUACUUGCUUGUUGCUUGAGGGUAGCAAGCUAGGUAGCAUACAAUUGUUUUAUAAAUAUUACUACAUUUGUAGGAUCCAUCACUACUUGGAGAAUUUGGAAGUGGGGGCGUUGGAUUAGGGAGACACAUUUGAACCCCAAGGCACUAGGUUUGAUUUCCAAUGGCAACAAUUUUAAGACGAAAGUUUAUCAGUGAAGAAUGGAACUUUGCCAUUCUUCUCCUUCCUCCCACCCCUUGGCUUCUCCUCUUCUUUUCCUCCUCUUCUCUUAUUCUUUGAAAUUUGUGAUCAUUAGUCCUAAGAUCCCAAUUUGUGUAGACAAGUACAAACAUGCAUAUCAAAAUAAAAACAACAUAAUAUUAAAACUGCAUAAAUAUUAAAACUGCCCAAUAUCUAUGAAUGAAUGAAACUUUAAAAGAAAAACACCAUGUCAAUGGAGGACGAUUUCUAUUAUCUUCCACUUUAAUAUUUGGAAUUAGAGCAUGUGUAAAUAGCAUAUUUAAAUACAAACUGCCAUGUUGUUGACACAUGUUCUAACUCCAGACAAAAGCUUUGAUAAUUACACAGAGAACCAAUUUCUAUUUUAUAUAUGUUUUUUAAGAUAUUUUUAAUUUUUAUUUGAGGCAAGUAUUUUUAUUGUUAUUUGGUGGUUUACUACCAAAGAUCACAUCUUACUGUAUAAAUUUCUAAUUUUGGGAUUGAAUUAAGUAAUAAUGAGUUUGCUAAGAUUAGAAAGGUUGGCUCCUGAAAUAACAGAGGAAAAAAUGUGUUAAUUUGUGAAUGACGUGGAUUAUUGUCUAAGAACAUUGCACAUUCCUACAGUGAACUUGACAGAGCAUCUGGUGGUAGUAGCAGGCACUUCUCACAACACACAAAGGGAAGUGGAACCAUCUCCUCCGUUGUUGACUAGAUCUGGUUAACAAACCCCAACCCAAGAUUGAACCCCAGGUGGGAAGAACUACAAUAGAAAACUACAGUAUUCUACAAUAUUACACUCUGAGGAAAUCUAGAAAUUUUGCAAGAAAAGACUCCAGAAUAGGGGAAUACCAACGUUUCACACCUUUUGAGGAGUCAGGCAUCGAUUUCAACACGCAGAACACGAUUAACCACACAGAUCAACCAGGCAGUAGUGUACUUUUCUUGAUACCAACAGACAAAAACAGCACCCGAGUAAUUCAUGACCAAUACAAUUAAAAGGCUACAUGAGGGUACUCUGCUCAACUAAAACACAUUUCAAGACCAAAAAUAUACAUUCCACAGAAAAGACCUCGGUAGAAAUAAUAAUACUGGGAUGUAUUGUCUGUCAUGGUUUAAAAUAUGUUAAGACAGACAAGCAUGGUAUUAAAUCACCUACUUCAACCCACUUUUGGUACCUGUAGCAUUUGGUAAGGAUUUGAAUCUUCACAGUUUUCAUUACAUACUACACAUACGGGAACAGCACCCAUGGAGAACUAAAGAUUGACUGCAUAACAGGAAUGACUCCACAGUAACGUCAUGACAACAAAUUUCUGCGUCGACCUUCGCUUACAGAUAGGCCUGGAGUCGGAUGGUAGGACUACGUAAUUUAAUGUAACCUAGUGAGCUCCUCUACUGCUUUGUGAAGUUCUUCAACAGAAACCUCGAGCGAAGUGGCAAUUUCUUCCAUCUUGUUUCUACUCAGGUCCAAGAAAGACUCUAUUAAGUCACCAUCUAAGAAGUUCCGAGCGUCCACAGUUUUCCGCUCAUUGCUGAAAGAUCGCCAUUGCUCAUGGCUUAAACCACCAACACCUUUAAUCACCUUCACCAAAGCCUGUUGUAGCUUCUGCAGGAAUAAGAACUGGUCUUGUGGUAGGGAAGCAAUGACUCCUAUAACUCCAUUCACGGUUCCAAAGAUGACAGUUGGGAUUUGGCUAGCUUCGCUGUCAGGAAGUCGCAUUACAAGCGACCCAUGGCGAAAUCUGUUAACAAACUCGCCAAGAUGGUACUCACCGACAACUUCCAAUCGACCUCUUUCUUCAUCUGUAGCUGCAUCAUUGUUUUUCCUUACUGUGAAAAGAUUGAAACUAUUUUCUGCUCCCAGGUAUGUGUCGUCAUCCAAAAUCUCAACGGCUGUCAUCCAAUUAGCAUUGUAGUCUCGAGCUCUCUCCUCGAUUGCACCCUCUUCAGGCUGUCAGAUACAGUAAAGAAUAUCAUCACUUCAGGCGAUAAACAAUUCCUCAUUUCAUAAUCCUUGAACUCGUCAAAAAAGAUGAAAGUAGAUGGGGGAAAGAGCUUAGUCUAGAGGAAAAGGACCAAAUGAAACAACUUUGUGCUGAUAUAUUCCAGUAGUUUGGGAAGUACUAACCUUGUAAAUAAGAAGCGAAAUUGAUUUCAUCAAAUCUCCCACAACAAUAAAAUCUCCACGUGAUUGAACAUACAGAGCCAAGAUAUGUCCAUGGUGAGAGGACUCGUACUGCAACUCCCUUGUUCCAUCAUCUCUUAGUGUCCACUUGUAUAAAGCAAUCUUCUGGUUGAUGCCUGCUAGCAAUUUCCCAUUGAAAGCAUUCAAAUUGUAAACAGCACCCUUCACUUCCUUCUCUGCUACCAGCUGGAUCUUGCCAUCCUCCACCGAGAAAACAAGAAUUCGACCCUGUUUCAACAAAACAUUUACUACCAAAUGAAAAGAAGAAAACUGUAACUGCGAACCAAAGCCGGGUUUGGAGCCACGAUUUGGGGACCUAUACUAAGAAUAAAGAAAAUCAUGAACAUUCUGAAGUGAAAACCAACCGUGUAACUUUCUCAAAGUAGAAAAGGUAGAAGGCAUCUGGUAAAAAUGGCACUGACCUUGCUAGGUUCACUUUCCUCAGGAAGAGCAUAGGCUGUGCCCACACAAUAGUAUACAUUGGAGUCGUCAGUGAAGGAACAUGUAAUAAUGGAGCAUCCGUUUUCAUACGGGUCGAGAGGGAACCCCGAUAUUAUCUCAAACGUCUGGUCUUCAAUUAACCGGACAUAAUGCGUUUCCAUGUCUUCACCGUUGGACCCUGGUGCAUACUUGGCCGAACAUAUGGCAAACGUACGAGAUUGUUCUUGAUGGGCGAUACGGCGAGGGUGUUCACCAAGAGGAACAGUGCGAAUGUGUAGCUUCUGAAUUUCAUCAAUAGUGCCGAUAGUGAGCUCUCCUUCCUUCCCGAUCGCAAGGCUGGAGACCACAUCAAACUGAGUCAGUAAAGAUUGUCCCCAUUCAAACAUAAUCAGUACCAGAAUUUAUAACAUAAAAAUGACAGGAAGUACUCUAUUGCGAACGUUGAAAUAUAAGCUGCAUUAGGAUGGAGACUUCAGGCACAGACAUCCAGAACCGACCCCCUUAAAGAUGACUGCGUUUAUUAGAAAGUCUGUAACGAACCUGUCUGGAAACGAUGCCGAGUUAAAGGGGCACAUGUGAUUGACUUCCUUCAAAUUGACAUUGCUAUACAAAAGUUUUUUAUUGCUGCUGUAUAUCACAGUCGGACGAUCUGAGGCUGCAAACACAUGCGUGGUAUUUUUGGAUCGAAAAGUCCGUAAUGCUAUGGGUUGUGUGCCAAGAGAUAUCUUCUUUCUAUCAGAUAAUUCUCCCGUAGCAGGGUUCAGCGUGAAGUUGAACAGGUGUCCAUCCCCCAAAGCACACAACAAGUACGCAAUCUGUAUACACACGACGUGAUAAGAAUCUGAUAAAAAAUACAAAAACCCAAAUGAUGAUCAAAUCGGUUAUUGAGGAAGUUAUAGUUUCACCAGACAGGAAAACCAAUUUCAGUAAACCAGGCAACAGGUAAAUUGAUCAGCUGCCAAAGCUAAACAACCGAAGAAAUAAGUAAACAGAUCAAGUUCUUCGGGCUUAUUUGAGGACUCUAUCCCCAAAGUAGGGUCAUAUUGUAUGGACAGGGUUCACUCUCAGCAUACUAGAGUAGUAAUCCCAAUGAAAUAAGAACCAUAUUUCAGUAGAAAUUUCAGCAUCAAAUACUUUUCAAAACACAAACAGGUGAACAAGAUUAAAAGGCCUCACCCCAUCAAAAGAGCAGAAGAGGACAGAACGGGGUAUGAUUUCUCCACCCAACAUUUCUUUGGUUAUCAAGGUAAGUGAUGGUAAGGCGAAAAUUCGAAUACUGAUGUCUGUCCACAUGCCGACUGCUACAAGGUUGCUGCGCUCAGGAUUAUCCCCCACAGGAUUGAUAUCUAAACACGAGAUUUCAUACUCCAACUGUACAUGUGCCACCUCCACCAGUGUACCUUGCCCUAUUUCAAUAUAUACAAGAUUUCCACCUCCUGUUGCAAGCAAGACCUGUUCAUCCAUAUUCUGGCUAAGAUCAGCAAAGAAAAAAAGUCCUGCCAAACAACGACGAUCACCACACAUAACAUAUGGCAUAACCUAUACAAUAAGUGAAAAAAGGAUAAGAAUGUCAGUGGUUUAGCUCAUCAUAACAUACAGAUAGAACUUCAAAUCAUGAAAUCUUCUAGUAACACAGAUCAGAACAGACCUGAGACGCGUUCGCCGUAGCAACGUUGAUAGUCAUUGGUGCCGGGGCUUUCCACUCUGUUAGUUGUCUUCUAGUCUUUGCAUCAACAAGACGCAACGAGCCUGCUGUGACCUGCGUUAGAUGAUAGAGAGUCAGGAAACAGUAUGAUGGAACAUUACAUAAAUCAAAUCCGAGAAGUCAUUGCAAAAAAGCCCUCACAUCAAAAGUAGGAUUAAACUAAUACAACACCUGUUUCGUGUGGCUUCGCAAAAGAAAAACCUGGAAAUAACUCAUGGUCCGUACCUGUACAAGUUGGUCGUGGACCGCAUUAUAACAAAAAAGGGUCUGAGCUUCAGAGUCAAAGCCAUCGAUCUCUGUCUCCUCAAGUUCAUCAUCCGUGUUCAUUGCCAAAAUACGUGUCUCACUUAUGAAGCUCACAACAAGGAAUGUAUCAUAGACAUCACUAGAUGAUGCCCGAAGAGACCACAUGCCCUUUAUGCCUUGAAGCUCUGCAGAAGCCUACAAGAAUCAACUCAUAUAUGGCUUGGUCAGUGCAAUAUACUCACAAAAUGCAAUACGAAUUACAUCAUCUGCUAGAGAGAGAGAGAGAGAGAGAUAGUUACAAGUAACCGAGGAUUAAGUGACCUUAACGAUAAAGGCCUGGUAGACAGAAAUUAGAAUGUAUGUUAAACAAGAAAAAAAAAGAAAAAAAAAAGGGGGGGGGGGGCAGUACAGCAGGUAGUAAUAUCUGAAGUAUUUACAUGGCAUUAACAGUAAUAGAACUAUCUCGGACAACUUUGAGCGCACUGCACUAAAAGCUAACCUGCUCAUUGAUGCCAAUACCGUUUCGCACGAUACGCAAAGAGCCAUCUUUAAAAGCACCUGAACAGGUUACCACUUGACCUUGACCUUGCCUUUCAAGAUCCACAACACAAAGAUCUACAAUAGGACCCAAAUUCACAUAGCUCUCCAAAACCUCGACAUAGGAAUUCUUGGCAUCUGCCUGGUGGUUUAAUCUGAUGAGCUGCAAAAUCAGAUUAGAAAAAUCACCUUUGGGCAUCAGAAUGUUAUUGCGACGAAAACUAGUGUACGCCUGUAGAGUACACCGAAGACACUAGUAUGCACAUUUAGAAAAUACAAUAUGUGAACCAAGAAACUGCAUCACCAUAAAAAGGGAAUACCAAAUGGGAAGAGCUAUUACCCAUAUGAUUGUAACGAUAAAUAACUCACAAUUCUAAAACGAGGAACGAAGCUCAUUUGAUGCAACAAAACAUUAAAACCUGAUUUAAGGCAGAGAAGAGAAAGAAUAAACCCAAAAGAAGCUAAAAGAAAAAACAAAGAAACCGACCUGUGAAUCACCAUAGCUGGAACCAACAAAAACUACACCAUUGUCCAGGUAGGACAAAGUAGAAGCUGCUGAUGUCUCCCCAAGAGGCUCCACAUUUAAGGCUGAUACCCUGUGAAACCUCACCCACUCAUAGUAUGUUUACCAAUCAUACAUAGUAGUUACGCGCAUACUCCCCAUCCACAAAGAGGAAAAGACGAAAGAAGGAAUUAAACCAAGAUAAGUGCAACACCCUCGAUUGAAAGGUGCUCUCAGGAAAAUGAUGCUGCUGGGAAAGCAAAGCACUGACCUUUCCUUAUCAUGCGAAAUAACAAGUAAGUAUAACAUGCCAUUAUGAUCGCUCAGCAAAUAUCGCGACCCAUCACUAUCCACUCUUCCAUAAGCCUUUGUAAUUGACUGUGAAUACCUCCACCAAUCAUGUCCACCGUGAGUAUCUCAACAAAGAUAGACCCGAGAUAGUUCACAAAAUGCAUAGACCUCAGCAGAAACGACAGCAAAACUCUUAGCCUUGUUCACUUGAAACUCUCAUCGAACUCUACCACAUAUUGGUAAACCAGCUCACAACUUUACCGCCACAAAAUAAAGACCACGCAUGCGACUUUUACUAGGGCUAGAUUCUGAUUUAAGAUGUCCAAGCUUUGCAAAGACUCGUUUCAGCUCAAAUUAUAACGAAACUCAAAUCCUAACUGAGUCUAGAAACGAAUACUGACGAAAGACGUCUCAAGAAAAAUAAACGUGAAGUAUUAUACCGGUCGAAUAGGAAUGGCUUUAAAAACAGAACCAUUAUAGUAAACAAUAGUCUGUUCCCCAAUAAUUAUGGCACCGCCCAACGGAAGUGGAACAGGAAUCAACAAGCCUGCGCCAUUGUCCAGGUUAUUUUGCAACCACGGACCCUCUCCAAAAUCUUUUUCUUUCAGUUGCACCUCGUACGUCUUGACAUGUCUGGCGUCUUUGUUGUCCUGAUUGGUCACAUCAGAAAACCACCAUCAGUGCUACCAAAGUCGAAAUUUUCCCUUCAAGAAUUAUGUUUAAAAAAGGAAGCAGUAUGUAGAUCUGUCAGAUGUACAACGCAUGACCCACAAAAUUUGAAAAAAAUAGGUGACAAGGAUCAACCUGAUAGAGAACUGCAAUAGUAGGUUUAGCACAGCCAUAAAGAAACUUGAUGUCCAAAACUUGCAGCUCUUCCAACCUGCGCGACGUAGACCUCUUAAGAAACCAAAAAAAAAAGGAAAAAAUAAAAACACAAAGAGAAAGAAAGAAAUGGAAAGAUGCAGAAGUAGAAAGAAGAAGGAAGAAAGAAAACAGCGAUUGCAAGUCACAUUCUUCCCCACUGCACCAAUAGUGGAAAAGAGGGGUAUGAUGCCUUAAGGACAACACCCAAUCUGUUAUACAGCGAGCGUCUUCAAAUCAUACAAAGCAAGCCAACAAUGUUUGCAUACCUGAUAUUGAAGGCUUCUUUCAGUUGACCUUUGUUGUCAAUAGGAAUCACCUAAAAAUAUACGAGAAACUGGUCAUUGGAGAUCAUUCAAUUUCAACGUAUUGCAAACAUGUCAGAAAAUGACAAGAGAAGACGAAUAAUUUAAGACUGAUGUGUACACCAGCAACUACUGAUAUCUCCAGAAAAUCUACUCUGAAGAACUGGGUGCAGCUGAGGGACUUUCACCACUCUCAUAUAUGUCCUGCUAUUCCCUAGUACCGAACAUUUGAAGCAGCCAAAAUCCACGCAAGAGAAGCCCUCAGACAUAAAUGACUAAUUAAGAUCAAUUCGAAAAGAAAUACUUAAGCAACAACCAUAUCAACAAUUCAGAUCAUCACUAACACAGCAAAUAUAUUUGAAACGAAAGGCGAACCUUGAACAGCCCAUCAUAAAGAUGCAGACCAAUUAGGCGGCAGUCAGGGUCAACGAUGCCAAUCUGGAAAAAAAAACAAAAUGUAUCAUACUAUCAUUGACAUUCAUACAAGGAAAAUCCCAAACCCUGCUAGUGAACUUCAGAAGCAACAUGACAGCAGAAACGCAUUAAAAACUAGUGAAAUAUUAAACCUCUAUUCCCAACAUGCCCUAAGAUUACAAGCACUAAACUGCCUCCUCUCCGCGUAAUCUUAACAACAAAUUUAAGUAUGCACCUGUCCAUUAUCUGUAGGUCGACCAAUUCGAUCAGAAACAUCUCCCAUCGCUCUGCAGGAAUCCAUUAUACCAUUUGAUUGGGAUUCAAUCUUGUGAUUAAUCUACCACUAGAAAACUUCCAACACAAGAAGAGUAGAAGGGAUUGAAGAGUUAUGAGAGGAGAAGUUGAGACAUGUUUUGUAGGAUCCAACACCCAAAUACCUAGACCUACUGAAGUAUUGAACAGUAUCACGAAGGUCCAUAUUUUUACCGUGUAACGAGUAAGCCGGUUUCUGCAUCCCAUUGAAGUACACAAAAUUUAUAUCUCUCGAACGAUAUAAACAGUACGUCCUGUGAUUCCCCCUGUAACCGAAGCACAGAAAAAAGAACUCAUGUUCAUAUUUACGUUCCAUCUGUCGAUUAGAUCAUAUGCUAGCACAAAGUUUCAUGCUAGCAACUACAACACCCAAUACUUCCUCAACUGGUAGACACAACUGGUAGACUAAAAGGCUUGCUAGCGUAUUCGAUUUGCACCAAACAAGAAAGCCGUAGGUUUAGAAUCGCAAAAUUCAGCAAAUGUUUCUAGUAAACCAAAACAGCUCACUACGACUCACAACUACAAAGUAGAUUUUCAGCUUCAAAGCAGGAAACACCAUUCAACAACUUACAGGAGGCCGAAAAAGUUCCAGGGUGGCAAUUCGACCAUAGAUGGGGACGUCGAGCAUGGGCUGCAUUUCGAGAAAGCAUGAACAUCAGCUGUUUUCUACAUAUAACAAAGCUAUUUAUGCUUAUUAAAACCCGGCAUCACAGGGUGUGCGGCAACAUAGUUACUCCAAUCGUGAAGAAUAUCCAUGUCGCAAGUCGUGCAACGUUUGAGUACACAAUCUACCAAAUGCCAAGGAAAGGUAAGCUCCGGUUCCCUUAGAAGUAACCGCAGCAUUAAGAAUGAACUUGCAUAUUGCUUUGUCAAACACGAUGAACAUACUAAAACCGUGGAAAAAAGGAUAAGCAAUUCUUUGUUCAUUCAUUUGUUAGAGAAUACUGUCUUCUCGCGCACUUUUGAUCAACAAGUGUACACGAACAGUUGAAUGUACAAUUGGUCUCAAAACAAUAAGCGCAGAGAUACUUAAGCACUUAUACAAGUUCCUGCAAGGAACACAUAUUUCCAUAAUAAUUCAAAUCUACAUGAGUUUUUCAUACAAUUUAGAGGGUUUGGGGAACAAAUUAAAUACUUACUUGGAGCCCUGACGCCGUCAACAGGUGAAUCUCAAUUCGAGUGCAUUUUCUAAAAUAGGAGUCAAGAAUCUCAUUGACAAACGAGUCUUUAGUAAGACCGUGUAAAUGGCACGAGCUGUUGAGAUAAACACAAACACAAGAACUGGCAACUUCAUACACAGUAGUGAAAUAGUUCUCCACUCUGUGAGAAACAUAAAUUGUUAACACCCCGAACGAAGCAUAAUCACUCCAUGUGCACCUUCUCUCCUAAAAACCCCCUCUAACUCCCGAGAAUAAAUUCAAUCCUAAACCACAGAAAUGGGAAGCACGAAAUAGACGCAACACUUUCAAAAGAGGAAACUACGACAUAAUUGGCAGCCUAUUGUCCUCCCGUUCUCAACCAAGUACGUGCUAGCAAACAUUCGUAUGGUAGACGCAUAAACAAAAAAUUAACAGUCGCGUAAACUGCCCGAAGCACAUAUACCGCCGCUGAUUUCAACGUCUAAAGAAAUUCAAAUGCCUAUACUUCCAAAGUACGCGAUGCUGAUUCGUAAAAGUCGUCAGGGAGCUCAAUUUCGUCGCAGUUCAGUACAAAUAAACCUAUCUCAACCAGAUUAUUGAGUCCAUCAUCGGAACACACGCAACCACACCACUGACCUAAACAUGCCGUCCGAUAAUAUCAAAAAAAUUCUAGUAUCACAAGCAUUCUACGCCGAGGGCACACUUCCGACAACAGAAAUUGGUGCAGCUCAGUAGAAAUAAAUUAAAAAAAAAAAAAAAAAAAAAAAAAAAAACACACACACACAAGCAUAACCACAAAACUAUGUAUAAACCAUCGUAAUUUUCACUCACCAAAAUACAAAGAGAUGAAGACUCUCGUGAGAAAAAGGGGAAAAAAAGGAUACGCGAUGAUAAGAUUGAGCUCCUGCGGAUUAGUGAAGUAACCGACGCACGAAUGCGUCACAUUGGUGGGCUUGUGCGCCGUAACUACAUAAUUCCAGCCACUCAUAGCUGCCUCUUGCCAAAGAUCCUUCACCACCCGUCCUUUCUAGCCCUUGCACAAAAUUCCCCGAAAUCUGAGCCUGAAGCUUUCCCUCUGCCUGCUUCAACUCGUCACGUUACUCACCUCACCUUAGAAACAUCAAAGCAAACCUGCGACUGCAUGCCAUCGAUGCACAUAAGUUCGUGAGCAACUGAGCUUCACAGCAGGAAACACAACCUCUCGGAAAAAAAGGAGCGUCUAACCCUAAUGAGUUUUUUUAAAAAACAGAAGCAUCUGAGAACGCAAUUACGAAACCCGUUGAUACCCUCCCAGUCCAGCACCCAGGUAUGUGAGAAGUUACGGCUUGUUCAAUGACAUUCCACGGGGAACUUCGUUCUAAUGAUCACUUUCUUAAGAAUGAUUGUGAGCAUGGCACUCUGCUCGAGUAUUACCCAGGAACACUGAUAGGGAACGUGAGGGAACGCAUGUAGUGACGUUGUGUUGUGAUGGAUGCAAAUGAAUUGUGUGGGAAAACCAUAUUUGAACAAUGUGACCAGAACAAUAUAACAGGGUUGAAAGAGGAGAGUAGUUUGUUAGCUCUGCCCUUUGAAGUUAAUAAUACAACCCAUUCACUUCUUUAUUGCCGUCCAAAUUUUGCAUAUGUAUUGAACAUAGACAUAUUGUCGACAUUGAUGGAUGUAAAUUCUAUAUAGCAAUACAUGGCCACAAUUUGACCAAUUACGUGAAAUUCUUUCAUGAAAAUUUAAUAUACUAAAAUUUGGGACAACUUAAAAAUUGAAUUGAUUUUUCUAUUCAUUAAUAUUAACAUUAUUUGGACUUCACCAUGCAACUUUUAAUUACUUUGGUAGAUAUUUUAGUCUUUCAUAGAUGAAACAAAGUAAAAAUACCAUUUUAAUGUCUAAAUAUUUAACAAUUGUGCAUUGAACAAUAUGUAUUAAUUAAUAUUACUUCAAUUUUUAUGGCCAUUUAAUCUACUUGAAUUGAUCUAACAAAGAAAAUUUUGUACUUUAUGUAAUUUGGAUUGAUCAUAUAUAUAUAUAUAUAUAUAUAUAUAUAUAUAUUAUUCUUUUUAUAUUCUGAACUUAAAAAUAUGCUUGUUUUUUUGUCAUAUAAUGAAAUAUCUAAAUUCUUACCACAAUAAUUAUAUAUAAUCUAAUAUAUAUAAAUAUUAGAAAAUAAAUAAUUUGGCAUUUAAAAAAAUCUUAGAUGAAUAUUAAUUACAAAAAUAAUACAUUUUAUUUAUUAGAAUAAAGAAAUAUAUUAGAUUUAUAGAGAUUUUAAUAUAAUUUAUAUUUUUAUAAGAACCAAUUAAGUAUAGUAGUAAUAUCUAGAUGAAAAUUAGAACAUAUAUACAUUAUAUGUAAGAUAAAACUAAUUUUGAAAUUUUUAUGAAUUAUAUUAAAAAAUAAAAACUAAAACUUAUGUAUAAAUUAGAAUUAAAUUAUUCUAUUAUCAGAAUUAUUACUAAAUUUAUAAUCUACUUCAAAGAAUUUAAUAUAUAUAUAUAUAUAUAUAUAUAUAUAUAAUAAAAUAUUUGACAUCAUAUUUUAAUGAAAUGAUUUUUUUUAUUUUUUUAAAAUAAUAUUUUUUAUUUGAAUUAUUUAUAAAAUUCUUAUAUUCAUACAAAUCAAAAAGUACAAUCAAGACUUUCUAACCAUUAAAGAAAUAAAAUUUAAUUCUUAUACAUAAAAGAUAUAAAUAUAAAAUAUAAUUAUAAUUAUAACUAUUUAUUUAUACAUGAUAUGUAGUGGUAUUUCAUUAUAAAAAAUAAUUUAAAAUUUUAAACUAAUUUAUAUAUAUUAAAAUCAAAAUUAUUAUUACUAUUAUUAUCAAUAUUAUUUUUAAAAAGUAAUCUAAAAUAUUAAUUAAAGUAUUAUAAAAAACAAAAAAUAGUCACUAUUUUUUUAAUUAAUAUAUAGAAUUCUUAUUGUGGACAUUCAUAUUUAUUCUCACAAUUGUGUAGAUAAUAUGAAUGUAUAGAAGUAUGUAAAAGUGGAUAAAAUUAAUAUAACUUGUGGAAAAGCUUUAUAGAUCUAACUUUGACUUUGGCCAUAGCCAUUAUAGUUUAAUAUUUUAUCAUCUUUAAGUGAUAUUCUAGUCUUUUUGAGUGACAUAAGAGUGUUUUGAUAUCUUAAUUCUUUGAAGUUCAUGUCCUUGACAAUUUGAUAAGAGUGCUAACUUAUUAUUCUUAUCUUGUUUCAAAACUGAGUGAAUUAUUCCUCUUCUAUUGAUGUGAUUUGAAGAUUGUGGAUUAUCCAUCUUUGAACAAACUAUUUAGUUUUCCAACACCAAUUUUUUUUCUUAAAAAGAACAUAUUAUCCUUUUUUGUGAAAAAAUUUAUUUAAUAUUCGAUGUUGUAGAUUAUUUUUUUCUAAUUUGACUUUUUGAUUUCUUAAGUUAUUUGAAAUAGAAGGAAAAACCAUUGAUACUAUACUUGGUGGAAGUAAAAAUAGAUUUGCAAUUGUUGCUGAUCUUCACAAACUUAUCAACAGUCUUAGAGUGGAAAUUUCAUGCAUCACUAAUGCCAACCACAGAAAUAUUAAUCCUAUGUAUAUAGAAGAAGUUCAGAAUCUACAAUAAAAAGUUGUGUAGUUGAAAGAAUGAAGUAGAUUGACCUCACAACCAAAUCUAGAAAGUUUUACUUUUACAAGUAUAAUGGAGACACAGAUUAGUAUAUCCAAUAAGUUUGAUAGAACAAGAUCAAAAUUUCAAGGAUUUUUGUAAUAAGUCAAGUUCUAUCUAAGAUUACAUCCCUUCCAGUAGUGUGAUGGAUUUAUUCAAGUUGAAUUCAUAAGCACACUUCUAUUUGGAAGUGCUCUCUUUUGGUUCAUAUUGUUAAUGGAAAAUGAUUCACAACUCUUUUAUGAUGUGAAUUCAUUCUUAGAAGUAUUUAUGGCUAUAGUUGAAGAAAGUGAUUGAAAAAGAGUAGCAAAGACUAAGAUCUUAUCCUUAUAAUAAAAAUCAUGGUCAGCUACUAUAUAUGCUACUAAAUUUCAAAAUCUUGCUUGUAAUGUGGAUUGGAAUAAUAAAGCCCUUAUCAAUCAAUUUCAAUAUGGAUUGAAGAAUAACAUCAAAGAUUUAUUAUUGACAAUAUCAAAAGUAAAAUCUUUAAAAUAGUUUAUUCUUCAUGCCAUUACAUGCUUCAAUUAAUUAUUUAAAAGAUGUCAAGAAUAAAGACUUGGCUAGAGAAGAAUAAGCCAAGUAAUAACGAUAGUUCCUAAGUUUUCAGAAACUUAUUUAUCAAAGUCAGAACCAAUGCAAAUUGAUACAAUAUAUUUUAAACUCCUCACUUAGCAAGAAAAGACUCAACAUCAUUAAGAGAGUUUGUACUUAUAUUGUAGAAAAGCUAAGCACAUUGCUCAAUAUUGUCCAAAGAAGUAAUGCAAUCACAAAAUAAGAAACAUGAUUAUCAAAAAAGAUAAUGUGUCCAAAAACAAGUUUUUCUAACUAUUAUAGGAGCUGUGUGGUUGAAAUCAUGUGUAACUUCUAGUAAAGGUUAUAUUCUCUCCUCAGAUCACUCACCUUAUUUUACAAUAGAUAAAUGUUUAGGACCUAAAAAUGACAAAGACUUUGCAUUAUUAGAUUCAAGAGUCCCAGCCUGUUUUAUAGAUUAAGACUUUGUUAAAGAACAAGAAAUAUUUUUAGUCAAAAAAAUUAAACCCAUACAUGUAGAAGUUAUAGAUGGUUUUUUGUUAUUUUUUGGAGAUGUUACUCAUGAGACAAUUCCUUUAGAUGUAGCAAUCAAAGACCAUAAUAUUGUAAUAUUAUUCAAUGUGAUAAGAUUUCCUUCUAAUCUAAUUAUUUUAGGAUUAUCGUGGUUUAUGAGUCACUAAAUUAACUCACUUUGAUAUUUAGUAUAAAAAAACACUAAUCAUGCUUAAAAUCAUAGAUUUAGUGAGUUAACAGUAAAUUUUUUAGGAAAAAUAGAAAAUAGAUUACUAAUAGCAGAUAUAGAAUCUAGGGUAGAAUUUAUUAAGAUGAAUUUCCAUAUUGGAGAUAUUUUUUGUAUCUAAUAUUAGAUGAUGGCCAAUGGAAAUAUUCCUCAUUGUCAUAAAAAUAAACUCUUAUUUUAUUAAUAGAUCUUAAAACAAAUAUAUGUAUAUGUUAUGGAAAAAAUAAAAAAUAAAAUAAAAUAAAAAGAUCAAAAGGAGUAGAAAGAAGAAUAGAGAAGAGAAGAAGGGAGAAGGAGAAAGAAGAAAAAGAAAGAGGGGAAGAGAAGGAAAGUAGGACAGAAGAAAAAAAAGAAGGACCGAAGAAAAGAAAAGAAAAGAAAUGAAAGGAUGAAAAAAAAUAAAAAUAAAAAUAUAAGACAAUUAAGAAGGCGAGAGGCUGCCCCUGAAUGGCGGCAGCCUACUUGUUGAUAUGAGUCGGGGCAGCCUGGGCUCCGAUCGUUCGAAUCUCCUUCCUGAGCGUGUUCUCUCCCGAGAGUAUUCCUUUUCUGUACAUGUGGGUGCAUGGCGGCACUUGUUUCUCUUCAUUCCGUCAAAGUGUGGGAACAAAAAAGAAUCUUUGUUACGAUCAGUGCACGACGUCAAGGUUCGGCGUCGUUGCUUUGUGUCCUUUGUAUUGGGAGUGCUGUGGGGCAGUUGUUUCCCUUUCGUUUUUUUGUUUUGUUUUGUUUUGUUUUUUGUUUUUUGUCUUCUCCAUGUGCGUGGUGGCAUUUUGUCUCUUGCCCCAUUGAGGUGCUGCGGUGUAGCGGCCAAUUGUUAUCGACUGGGUCAGCGAGGGCUUAAUCGAGUUGCAGCAGUUGCAUUGCUUGCUGAUUAUGGUCGUGAAUGAGGAUGAUGGCUAUGGGUGCUUCUAAGUUCUUUAGGUGCAGCGUCGUCGAUUAAGUAUGGAGGCGUGGAGGUUGGUCAUCAAUUGUUCUCUCUCUCACUUGGUGUUGGUAAUCUAGACGACUUGACACGGUUUACUGAGCCAGUUAACUCGACGAUUGGUCUACAAAUGGAGGUGGCGCUUCCUGGCUCAAAUUUACUCGACCUGUGUAUCGACGGUAGCACAUCAAGGCGGCGGUUUCUAUUUUUUCUCAAAACUAUGCGUGCGGUCGACGACAUUUGAUCUUCCACAAUAGCAAUUCGCUGCGUUUAAGUAUUGUAGAAGUUCGUGCAGUGAGGCGGUUGUCCUCAUUGAUACUGACUCAAUCUAUUUUUUUCCUUCCUUCACUCAAGAUUCUGGCAAGUUACAUUGAUGUGGAAGUUUUUUUAUCUUCUAGCUGCUCGAUGAUAUUGAGCGAUGGCAGUAGCAAGCAAGCGUCCAGUCUAUACUCAACGAUGUGGAAAAGCCAUCUGGGUAGUUGUCGACAAGUUGGAGUUAUGAUCCUCCAUUAGCAGCCGCAAGAUUGACAAGGCGACAGGUUCCACAGUGGUUGGAGCUCGGGGUGUUUGCUUUGAGGAGGUAGUCGGUGGUUCCAGAAGUGGCAGUUGUUUGUAGUAGAAGGCAGUUUCUUCCAUCAGCUGCGACCAGUGCGAGCUCCUCCAAACGGCAAGACGUGAUUAGGUUAGCUUUUGUUGGACGAAAGUUAGGCUAGAACAAGGUUAAAAGUGGAUGAUUUUUAUUAGGUGAAUGAUGAAAUAAAAGAUGAAUUAUUUAAACAUUGAUGGAAUUUUAAAAGUUAAUGAAUUAUUAUUCAUGGAUG
rnacentral:lncRNA from 1 species